rnacentral:rRNA from 1 species
UACGUAUGGUGCAAGCGUUAUCCGGAUUUACUGGGUGUAAAGGGAGCGCAGGCGGUACGGCAAGUCUGAUGUGAAAGCCCGGGGCUCAACCCCGGUACUGCAUUGGAAACUGUCGGACUAGAGUGCCGGAGGGGUAAGUGGAAUUCCUAGUGUAGCGGUGAAAUGCGUAGAUAUUAGGAGGAACACCAGUGGCGAAGGCGGCUUACUGGACGAUUACUGACGCUGAGGCUCGAAAGCGUGGGGAGCAAACAGG